rnacentral:tRNA from 1 species
CGCUUUUCGAUAGCUCAGCUGGUAAAGCAUCCACCCAGUAUGCGGAAGGUCGCCGGUUCGAUUCCGGCUCGCGGCGU